CUCCUCCCGCUGCAAACGCGCGAACUUCUGUGGCUCGAUCCCAGUGCGCACUCCUCCCAGUGCACUGGCCGGUUGGAGUUUUGCCAGGGAGGCCUUCCCACCUGCCUGUCUCAAUGGAAAGAAUAUGUGGAUUUGGAUUCAGGGACACCUUUAUCACCUAUGUGACUUUAGGAGUCAAUGAAGCAAGUUCAUGAGACUCUGAGGCAAGGACACCAAACCAGGGGUUUUAGCUCCUACCCAUGGUACUGGCUAAUAUAUCUGACCACACUGGCUCUGCAAGACCAUGGCUGAAGACUGCUUAAAUGUUGUCCCUGAGUCAAUAUCUUAACAUUUAUUGCAUCUUUUAUUUUCUUAACAAAAAUGAAGGCAUUUGUGACUGUGUUGUUUUCCAUCAAAAAUUGGGAAUCAUGCCCUUUCAUACAACACAGUUGUGACACAAUUUGUUGAAGUGAAAGAACACUGGAACAGAAACAAGAAUACCUGAGAUGGAGACUCACCUCUUACCAUCAAUCUAGUGUUGACUUUGGGUCCAUCUUUUCUUCUGGGGUAGUAGAAAGAUCAAGAUCAUCAGAGAACGUAGGGUGCAAUAUCAGCUCUCCAGUACCAAACACGGUUCAUUAACCUCUCGGAACCUCAGGUGUCUUGGGGCAUAGUUCAUGUCUCCUGGCCCAUCUCACAGGAUUAUCAGGAGGACGAAUGAGAUAAUUCUCAGGCUAAAGAAAAUAUCACCUAAUGCUUCUGAUAUACAGAAUUGUGUGCUGCAAAUGGUUGAAAAGAUUUUAGUUUCAACACCUAAUUCCCAUCAUUCUGUGGCAAAAUAUAUCUUGAGUUCUGAUGGGCGCCAGAACAACAUCUGAAGAUUGAAUGAAACUUCUAAAGUGAUAACAAGGCCCGUCCUGUACUUCACAGAAGACUUCUGAGGGUCAAAGAGAAGAUUUAUAGUUCUGGAGGUCAGAAGUCCAAGCUGAGUUUCACUGGCCCAAAUUCAAGAGUACCAGGCCAGAUUUCCAAAUGGGACAACAGGUGGAACUCUCAUUUUGCUCAUGUUCA
rnacentral:lncRNA from 10 species